GGCAAGAUGGCCGAGCGGUCUAUGGCGUGUGACUCAAGCGAAAGCUUGCCUGCAAAGCACAGGUUUCUCAUCUCUUAAUUGAGGCGUGGGUUCGAAUCCCACUCUUGUCA
rfam:Coniophora puteana RWD-64-598 SS2 unplaced genomic scaffold CONPTscaffold_3, whole genome shotgun sequence.